CCUGCUAGACUACCCUGUAUGAAAUGUUGUAUAUAUGGUUGAUCCAAACACAGUAACUUUGCUAAACGAAUUAAUGCUUAAGCCAAGAAAGAACUUAGCAUUUGAAGUUGAGAGUGUGCAAAUAUAUCAAAUCUUUGUGAAAAGAACAUUGUGAAGAAGAAGACUAGAUGUUCUAGUUUAGAGAUGUAACAUGUAAAUUUGUAUGUAUCAAUAUACAGUAAAUC